rnacentral:lncRNA from 1 species
CAGGCUGGGAGCUGAAGCAAGGCCCGGGAUUCUCAAGCCAGCAACUACGGCUCCACAGAGCAGGCCCCCCACCCUCCUCCUGGGCUUGAAAGGGUGGAGAGGUGGGGUUGCCCACCCUGUCAUGCUUCACGGAGGCUCUGUCGCUGUGUCCCAAGAAGCCAAUUCUGUAAGAAAAGAUCCAGCCUUGACGGCCCAUGGAGACGUGCAGAAGAGGCGGCGGCGAGGAGGGGAGGCUGGAGAGGGUCUCUGACCUUUCCCUAUGGUCUCUUAAAUUCGUCCAUGGUAGGAAGGGAGAUGGAGCAUGGGCAGUGCCUCUAAGUCGGCCGUGCGAAUGCAAAGGGCCACAGCACAGGCUCCUACUGUCUUCGAAGCCCCUGAUGCAAGCGUGAGCAUCAGGGCCUCAGGCCGGCUGACCUCCCUUAGCCAGCUGGUAAUCCUAAGAUUCAUGCCAAGACAUUCUCCCCUCCGAGCUGAUGGAACACAGCUGUGCACCAGUAACUUCUGGAUCCUUGGAUUUGGCUGAAGGGAGGUCACCAAAGGUUGCUCGGUCACUGCACGUUCAGAGCCAAGUCACACGUGGACACCCUCAUUGGCCCAGGUUGUCUUUAUCUUGGCAGCGGCCGACCCAGAGCAGACUCUGGGUGGAGUCAGGAUGGUGCAUUGUUCUCCCCCACAGCCGGUGACCCGCUUAGCUGCCUGGGCUGGCACCAGCUGAGGUCUGGCGGAGUGAGGGCCGUCCCCGGUAAUGGCAGGGCCACUGUGUCUGCUGGGUGCGGCAGACGCUUCCUAAGGGCCCACUCUUUGGUUCAACAUGAGCUGAUGCUUGCUCCUGGGUUUCCAAAUCUUUCUGAGAUUCUGCAAGAAUCUGACCUAUUCCUCUGGUUUAUGGAGGCAGCGGGCUGACUUGUGUUUCCCCACCAGCAGAUCAUUGUUCUAGGAAGGGAGGCAAUCAGGGUCCCAAAGGGGCUGCCCAAGGCAGAGUAUUCUUCAGCAGUAGCUGCCCCGUGCCAACUCCUGCAAACUCCUUAGCACAUCCACACUCUCUCAUACGUGUCGAAUCCCUUGGUCCUUGCGACAGCCCUCUGAAAUGCGCGUGACAGCACAGAGGAGGCCAGGGACCAGAAAAGACAACUGCAGGAGAAAGCUGGGGGCUGUGCGGAGAGGUGGAAAGAGCCUGGAUCUCUGAGGGAACUACCCUUUCUAAAUGGCCCCCUUUGUAUUUCUUGUUCUGCAAGGAGAAAUAAGCUCCUAUCUUAUAAUAUGAUGUGGGUUUUCUGUUACCUGUACCCAGUGCAAUCCUAACAGACUUGCCUGGAAUUCAUUCUCAAUCUCCAGCCAAAGGAGAUUACCCAAAGAACUUUUCCUAAAAAUUCACAAAUCGAGAUGGCCCCCAUUAUACCCUGUGCAAAGUCUGAGUUUCAAGGUGUAGGGAGAGUUGACAGAUGGCAAUGCCAUACUAUGGCCUGGAAAGGGAGAAUGUGACUGGCAGUGCCAAAGGAAGAGAGGCUGAGCCCAAGGGAAGACUCAGGCCCUGGCCUUGAGGAAGAGGAAGUCAAAAGCAUCCUGCUGUAGUCCCUUGACCCUGAAAUAUACACAGACACAGACACAUCAAAGUUCCUACUAACACACAGAGACUCACACAUAUUCCCAGAAACACACAGAUACAAGCAGACUCCUACUAAUUCUCCCUCCCUCGCUCUCAUCUACAUACAUUGACUCACAAACACACGGAUUCUUAUCUACAAACUCACCCACGCACAGACAUAUACUCAGAUCCACAAAGCCACACACACAGACACAGACACACAGGGCCACGGGGGGGCAGGGGAGGGGAGGUGUGGAGUGAGCUGGGGAGAAGGUGGCAGUUAGGUGAGUGGAGGUCUUUUCCUUUGCAGGGGAGGUGGUGGGGGUGUCUGGUGAGGGAGACAAAGAGAGAGCCUCCCUAAUUCCUCUGAGAACGUGGUCUGGGUCAGAACAUCUUCCGCCAUAGGAAGCCGCUGGGUGGCUCCCAUGUCCCUGGAAGUCAGCCACUUUUUUCAGAGGGAGGUCAAUCCCUUCCAUGGCAGGUCACCCCGUGUGCAAGGAGCAGGCAGCACCUGGCCAUGGGAAACAAUCAACCCGGGGAUUUUUUCCAUAAAGAGAAAGGUGAGGCCAGACGGAAGCCCAGGUCCCUGAGAACACGGCAAGAUCAGGUUUCCCAUGAAACCGCAGGCUGGAGAGCCUCCCAGUGAAGCAGAGAACCCACGCGGUCCUUGCUCUGGGUCAUGAGACAGGGACAGACAGCUCAGGUGACCCACGCGCUUUCAGACAGGUAAGAGGGGAUCCAGGUCUGGCGCCCCACCCUCCCAGUGACCCUGGGUUAGUGCCUUUCUCUCUCUGGACCACCGGUGGCUCACCUGUAAGGACAGAGGUCUCCCUCUAAAGUCCCACUGAAGUGACUUACAACUUAACAGGCUAAGGUUUUUGCCUCCCUGCUGGGUCCAAAGGAACCAGGGCAGCAGCCCCCACCCUUUGACCAUCGCCCCUUCUGCUGCCGUUCCUCAGUGUCUUGGCAAGAGGGCAGGGGAAAGGGCUCCUGUUGCAGGGCACACCGGGCCUUCCGUACACCCUUACUGCUGGCCCUGCCUGCACCAGCACCCACCUGCAUGGUGCCAGAAUCUUGUUGAGAUUUGGUUUGUCGGUGAAGAGAGGGAGUACCCAGGGACUUCCGAGAGCCCUGGCAAAGCUGACCUGGAUGGCAGGUGGUUCUCAUCGUCAGUUUCUUGUGCCCAAGUAGCUGCCUUUUCCCACUCCCUCUGACACUCUCUGAAGGGAUCCCUGAAGGCUCCUGGGCUCUGCCAGGGAGGAGACACACUCCUGAGCCUGGCACCCUUUCCACUGAAGCACAUACUAAGGCUUUCCAGAAGUCUGUCCUGGGCUCCUAUCCAGAGGUCUGGCUACUUUUCCUGAGGACUCUGGCUCCAGGGGCUCUUGAGGUCAGGCAGGACCUUCAAAUGGCAGUGAUCCAAGGCCACGUGCCCAUAGAGGACAGGAAAGCCAGCUGGGCAUGAGCUCCUCUGGAGCAGCUUCAGGUAGGACAGGGGAGACAGAACAGCCACAGCCCCACCCUCACUUCAGACACCACCACAGCCACCACCCAGGCCUCUGGCCAGUCCUGAAGUUCCGCUUCUGGCCUGACCUUGUGCUAUGGGCUAAACUGUGUACUCCCUGCCACACACAAUGCUGAUGCGGAAACUCUAAUCCCCAGUACCUCAAAGUUGGAUGUAUUUGGACAUAGGGGCUUUAAAGAGCUGAUUAAUUUAAAGUGAGGUCACUGGGGUGGAACCUGAUCCAACAUGACCGGUGUCCUUAUUAGAAGAGGGCAUCGGGAUACAGAUGAGUGCAGUGGAAAGACCCUGUGAAGACACAGGGAGAAGACGGUUAUCUGCAAGCCAAGGAAAGAGGCCUGGAGCAGAUGUUUCUUGGAACAAAACCAGCCCUGCUGACACCUUGAUCUUGGACUUCCAGCCUCCAGAACUAUGAGACAUAAACUUCUGUUGUUUAAGCCAAUCAGUCUGAGGCACUUUGCAGCCUGCACUGACUAACACACCUGUGUGGAGCCUCAGGUAAGCAUCUUCUUCUCCAGGACCCUCCUAGGCCUGUCCUGUACUCAUGGGAAGGAAGACUGCCCCACCACUCCACCAAUCAGCUCUUUCAUCCCCUGGCUCCCUGUGGAAGUCACCACCUUUGCUGGAAGAGGAAAACCUUCUCCAUGGCAGGCCAUGUCUCUGAGGGUCCCCAAAACCCCCACAGGCCAGCAGAGCAGCUCUCAGCUUCCAUGAUCUUUAGAGCCCCUGCUGGCUCUGAUUCCCAACAGGUCUCACAGCUCACAGACCAUCUGAGGGCUGUUCUCAAAAGGGCACUGGCAGAGGCCUUGAGCAGGAAGUGCUGCAGGUCCUAAGAGCCCUCAGAAGGCUGGCACGAGGUCAGAGAAGGGAGGCCGGCCCCAUCAGCAGCCCCCUCCUCACCUGUACAGCAAUGCAGGGGGUGCCCUCUGUUCCAGUCCAGAAGAAGAAAGGGCUCACACAGCAAGUGCUGAAGGCAUCCCUCCCAAAGUCUGAUGGGAAACUCCCUUCCUAGUCCUCACAAGACUUCCAAGGGACAGAGGAAUGCAACAGACAGAGAAAACACCCUGCCCUGAAUCCCGGGACAUUGCCCCAGCAGUGAAUGUGGAAAUCUUGCCAAGUUUCCCCAGGGAGGGCUGAACCCUGGAGCCAAUUGUGAGGCUCCAUGUGACUCCAAGUCCUACAGCUCAUGCCAAAGGGCUGCAUCUGCCUGUGGCCCUCCUGGGCUGGGGGAGACAGUCUUCUCUGCUUUGAGUAGUAUCAGUCUGCAUAGGUGGACGCCAUCCACAAAGAACGUAGGGGUAGACGAGGCCCUGUGGACAGGCCCCACGGCGUGGGCCAGGCUGCUCCCUGGCUGCUGUGGAGGUCAGGGAGGUCGACUGCAGCAGCUUGCUUGGUGCAGUGAGGACAGUCCAAAGAGUCAGCAAGGGCCAGCAUCUUCAGAGAAAAGCAGGAUCCAGAGGCUCCCCAGGUCCCCAUAUCUCUGGUGGGUGUCAGGCCUCUUGGAGGAAGCCUGGUGGGACCCUCACUAGAGGUGACACUGGAGAGAAGAUGAUGUCAGGGACAGAGGUGUCCAAGCACCCAUUUCUUCCCCACUCCCCAAAACAGGAGUGAAGGAUCAGCAACCAAAAGAAGAAACACAGGAAAACCAGCAGGGCAUUCUGGAAUGGAGCGGACCUAAUGUAAGGUGGCGGCGAAGACACCAGGCAGGCAGGGCUUUUGGGGGCAGGGCAGACAGAGAGACCAGGGGAGGGGAGGGAGUGCUGACCCAGGGAGACUGGUCUCUAAGUGAGUUCAGAGCUUUGAGGUAUGGGAGAUGGGGAACAAGGAGGCCCAAAGACGCAGUGUCAGAGAGCCCUAGGGAAGGAGUUUCUUCUUAUUGCUAUUAUCAUUUAAUUUGCAUAGAGUAAAAUUCACUUUUUUUGGUGUAGUCUUAUGGGUUUGUAUCAUGUGCAUACAUUUUUUUUUUUUUUUUUUUUUGAGAUGUAGUUUCACUCUUGUUGCCCAGGCUGGAGUGCAAUGGUGCAAUCUUGGCUCACUGCAACCUCCGCCUCCCAGGUUCAAGUGAUUCUCCUGCCUCAGCCUCCUGACCUCAGCCUUCCAGUGCUCUGAGAAUGGGACCCAACUCCUCUCCAGACACCAAGGAGCUGACUCUUCCCACCCCUUCCUCCCUCUCUUCCCUUCUGACCAAGGGCCCACCAAGCCCUUUCCUGCUUCCAGACUUUGGUUCUUCCUGGAAUGUUCUUCCCUCAGCUUCCUUGUGGCUGUUUCCUCCCCACACCCCAGGUCUCAUCUCAGAUGUCCUGUCCGCGAGAAGCCCCUCCAGGGCCACCUUGUAGCGCAGCUUGCCCAGUUACUCUCUCCUUCCACCCUGCUGCUUUCCUCCAUGUAACUCACCACAAUCCAUCAUUAUCUUCCUUUUUCUUCUUUGUUUAUUGUCAACCUCCCAUCAAAAAGCAAGCUCCAAGGGCCCAUGUCUAGCAUGCAAUAAGCGUUACACAAACAUGUGGUGAAUCAAAUGAACAAACAAUCUUGUUACCAAUCUGGAUGUAACUCAGGCCAAUCUGCCGUCCUUUCCUGGUGGGGAGAGGGGGGCAUGUUGCUGCCCCUGCACAUCUGGAGGAAAGAAUGAGGGGGCAGGUGGGAUGACAGUCCCCUCACAUCCUAGGUCAUCCGCAAUCCAAUGCCCCUGCACUCUCCACUCUUACAUUCUCUGUGUUAACAAGGGAGGGAGGAUCACUGAAAUCUGAAGAUAAUCCCCAAACGUCAUUUCAGCUGUCUGUGUCAACCUCCUCUGAAGCUAUGCUUUCCUUUGCCCCAGCAGUUGCUAACGAGGCACAAAAGAAUAAAUGUUUCAAGUUGCACAACCUAUCCUUUCCCUGCCACUUUCGGAUCAAGGUGCAGGCGGCAGGAAGUUGGGGGGAGGGGAGCCCCGUAAUCCCAAACUGGGUUAUUUGACACUCCGUGAUCUAGUUAACUAUAGUCUUCCUGCACCUGUUUUACAGCCAAGGAGAAAAGACAGGUCUUGCAAAUGAUUCCCAGUGUGUGUGUGUGAGUGUGUGUGUGUGUGUGUGUGUCACAAGAGCUUGGGGCAGGAAUAGGGCUGUACGACACAGUGGGGCAGGAGCAGGAACCUGGGUCCUGUGUCUGUGCCACAGGUGAGGCAGCUCAGGCCAGCUCAGGCCUCCCAACAGCCCUAAGUCCCAGUCCAGUCAAGGAGUCCCUCAGAUGCUGCCUGGUCUUCCUUGGCACUUCCAGAGCCAAAUCUGGAUGUGCACAGCCCGCCCCCACCUCUCUGUGCUGGGUCUCCACAAGCAGCUGCUGGGCACAUCUCUGCCCUUCGACUUGUCAUCUUUGCUCCCAAAGCAUGGAAAUCCUUUAUUGAGAGUGUGCAACAGCAUUAGGGCCAACCCCUGGGGCCCUGCCCAGUCCUGUGGGAAUUGGCUGCCAAGUCCACACUGGGGCUGAGCCCUUCAAGCAAGAGGGGCCGGUUCUCCUGAGGGCCACCACUCACCGAAAGAACCAAAGCAACCAGAGGGUCAAAGAAAGUGUCUCUGCUUUGUGUGUGUGCUGACAAUGGCAGAGGGUUCUAGUGUUUCUGUUUUCUCUGACUUGCACAAAUAAUCAUAAUAGCUGCCAUACAUGGAACGCAUGCUACAUGCCCGGACAUCCUCCACAUCAUCUCAUUUAAUCUGCACCAUAGCCCUAGGAGGGAGGAGGGACUAUUCUUCCCAUUUGCAGAUAAGAAAGCUGAGGCUACUGAGAGUAAAUGUCUUGCCUCCAGAGGUGGAGCCUGAACUGUGGUCUGAAUAACACCAAGUUCCAUGCUUUUCAAAGCUCUGCAUCCCAAACCUGUUUACUAUCCCCGUGCCACCUGCCCCCGGCCCCAUAAGUGCUCUCCUGGCAACAAAAAGCCCAAAAGACACUAUUUCCUCAAGUAAAAUGCCCUUAACGCUCUGGCCAAACCCAGAACUUCCGUUAACUUGGGGAGCUCAAUGAUCAGGAGUCUUUUCUGCUCAAGCACAGGAACCCCUGGAGAUCCUCCAGGAAUUUCUUUUUCUUUUUCUUUUCUUUGAGACGGAGUCUCGCCCUGUCACCCAGGCUGGAGUGCAAUGGUGCGAUCUCGGCUCACUGUAACCUCUGCCUCCCAGGCUCAAGCGAUUCUCCUGCCUCAGCCUCCCGAGUAGCUGGGAUUACAGGCAUGCGCCACCACACCCGGCUAAUUCUUGUAUUUUUAGUAGAGACAGGGUUUCACCAUGUUGCCCAGGCUGGUCUCAAAAUCCUGACCUCAGGUGAUCCACCCGCCUCAGCCUCCCAAAGUGCUGGGAUUACAGGCGUGAGCCACCGCACCCAGCCAAUCCUCCAGGAAUUUCUAUGUGGCAUUUGGGGACAAGAGUGGUCCUGAGAGAUCAGAGAACUCACAUCCAGGGAGGUGAAAACAUGGAUGGGCCAAGGGUGUCCAGGGAAUGAGCACAGCUGGGCCAGGGAGACCCCGUUUGGCACAGUGCGCCACAUGGGUCGAGUCACAAGAUCAGGGACUCUUUUCAUCUGUAAAGACUGCAGUCAAACCACCUCCACCUAAUUUCCUGGCUCUACCAGCUUUUCUGAGUCACCAGAUCACAAACUUCACUGCUACAAAGAAUUGUCCUAUUGUAUCAAGUUCUCCUAAGAGGUUGACUACUUAAGAAGCAUGUGGAAUGUGGAAUGUCAAAGCUGGAAGGGAUUCAGAGGCCAGCAGCCUGACCAUAAUCCCACAGAUGAGGAGACUGAGGUCUAGAGAGGUCACCAGACUUAUCUGAUACCCUGUAGACUGAACAUGGAGCCAAAUACGUAGGUAAGGUUUGUGAUGCUCAUGUCUCCCAAGGGAAAAGAUGCAUCCACACAGAUCACAGUUGGAGUGAAACUCUUCCACUGGGAAUUCUCUCUCCCAAAUGCAGUAUCUAAGGUGUCAGUUUCUCCCAGUAGGUACUAACCUUACCUGGCCAUAAUGAAGCCCACUCCUUGCCUUGGGGUCUCUGUCCUCAAAGCUGGAGCCGCUCCAGCCACUAAGUACCUUCCUGCCUCAGAUGACCAACCCUUUUCCCUGCACCCCCCACAAAAAAACAUGAAAGUAUAAAUACAGGUAAUGGAAAUGUGACAGGGGACCCACAUAUUCAAAGGGUGCCCGAGGCUUUUAUAGGGUGGGUGGACAAUGCCUUAGAGUCAGGAAGACCAAGAAGGGUGGGGGCCCAGGAACUUUGCUUUGCUGUGAAUAAAUCCACAAAUGAUCAGAUCUAAACACACAUAUUCACACACACACGUGCAAGCACUAUCUAUCUGGCACUGAUGACUGUCUGAUCUUGUGCCUUAAUCAGGCUACACUAGCUAAGCUCCCAGCCUUGCCCAGUAAGAUUUUUUUUUUUUUUUGAGACGGCGUUUCACUCUCGUUGCCCAGGCUGGAGUGCAAUGGCGCAAUCUCG